rnacentral:rRNA from 1 species
UAGGGAAUCUUCCGCAAUGGACGCAAGUCUGACGGAGCAACGCCGCGUGAGUGAAGAAGGAUUUCGGUUCGUAAAACUCUGUUGUUAGAGAAGAACAGCGCAUAGAGUAACUGUUAUGCGUGUGACGGUAUCUAACCAGAAAGCCACGGCUAACUACGUGCCAGCAGCCGCGGUAAUACGUAGGUGGCAAGCGUUGUCCGGAUUUAUUGGGCGUAAAGCGAGCGCAGGCGGUCAAUUAAGUCUGAUGUGAAAGCCCCCGGCUCAACCGGGGAGGGUCAUUGGAAACUGGUUGACUUGAGUGCAGAAGAGGAGAGUGGAAUUCCAUGUGUAGCGGUGAAAUGCGUAGAUAUAUGGAGGAACACCAGUGGCGAAGGCGACUCUCUGGUCUGUAACUGACGCUGAGGCGCGAAAGCGUGGGUAGCAAACAGG